GGGAUUGCCUCAGUAACGGCGAGUGAAGCGGCAACAGCUCAAAUUUGAAAUCUGGCCUUCUGGUCCGAAUUGUAAUUUGUAGAGGAAGCUUUUGGUGAGGUACCUUCCGAGUUCCUUGGAACAGGACGCCUUAGAGGGUGAGAGCCCCGUACGGUUGGAUGCCAAUCCUUUGUAUAGCUCCUUCGACGAGUCGAGUAGUUUGGGAAUGCUGCUCUAAAUGGGAGGUAAAUUUCUUCUAAAGCUAAAUACCGGCCAGAGACCGAUAGCGCACAAGUAGAGUGAUCGAAAGAUGAAAAGCACUUUGAAAAGAGGGUUAAAUAGUACGUGAAAUUGUUGAAAGGGAAGGGUUUAUGACCAGACCUUUGCCUUGCGAAUCAUCCGGUGUUCUCACCGGUGCACUUCGCUUGGUUUAGGCCAGCAUCGAUUCUGGCAGGGGGAUAAAGACUUUGGGAAUGUGACUCCUCGGAGUGUUAUAGCCCAUUGUGUAAUACCCUUACUGGGAUCGAGGACCGCGCUUUUGCAAGGAUGCUGGCAUAAUGGUCAUCAACCACCCGUCUUGAAACACGGA
rnacentral:rRNA from 1 species